GAUGAACGCUGACAGAAUGCUUAACACAUGCAAGUCUAUUCGAGUUACCUUCGGGUAACGAGGAUGGCGGACGGGUGAGUAACGCGUAAAGAACUUGCCUUUUGGACUGGGACAACUGUUGGAAACGACAGCUAAUACCGGAUAUUAUGAGAUUCUCACAUGAGAAACUUAUGAAAGCUAUAUGCGCCAAGAGAGAGCUUUGCGUUCCAUUAGCUAGUUGGUGGGGUAACGGCCCACCAAGGCGACGAUGGAUAGCCGGCCUGAGAGGGUGAACGGCCACAAGGGGACUGAGACACGGCCCUUACUCCUACGGGAGGCAGCAGUGGGGAAUAUUGGACAAUGGACCGAAAGUCUGAUCCAGCAAUUCUGUGUGCACGAUGAAGGUCUUCGGAUUGUAAAGUGCUUUCAGUUGGGAAGAAGGAAGUGACGGUACCAACAGAAGAAGCGACGGCUAAAUACGUGCCAGCCGCCGCGGUAA
rnacentral:rRNA from 1 species